AGGCAGCAGUGGGGAAUAUUGCACAAUGGGCGCAAGCCUGAUGCAGCCAUGCCGCGUGUAUGAAGAAGGCCUUCGGGUUGUAAAGUACUUUCAGCGAGGAGGAAGGCAUUAAGGUUAAUAACCUUAGUGAUUGACGUUACUCGCAGAAGAAGCACCGGCUAACUCCGUGCCAGCAGCCGCGGUAAUACGGAGGGUGCAAGCGUUAAUCGGAAUUACUGGGCGUAAAGCGCACGCAGGCGGUCUGUCAAGUCGGAU
rnacentral:rRNA from 1 species